ACCAUACAAAGUGAGGACUGCCUGUACAGAAAGAAAAAAUAGGCAUUGGGAAUUUAUUUUUUGUUUUUGUAUAUUGUCUUCACAUCUCAAAGAAAAUGUAAAAGAAUGCAGAAAAAUAUUUCAUUAAAAAAAAUGCUGCCUGAAAUAUUUCCCUGAAACUAGCAUAAUGCAAACUUAGGCCAAUCCUGUAACAUUUCAGAAUAUUUUCAACCAAAAACAACAAAAAGCUUUCUGAUAAAAUUAAACAGCAAUUUAUAAAAUGCUCAUUUAAGUAGCAACACAGAAAUGCUGUCUCUUGGUAAGAACCCAAACCUUAGCUAUCAAGACGUCCAGGUCCAUUUUGAGAGCUUAUGUUCUGCUCCACCAACUUCCAAGGUCAAUUUUGUCCUAAAUCUGUUUCAUUGUAUCACUUUCACAUAUCAGUUGCUUAUAGUAGAUUUUCUGCUGUUCUCAUGUUGUAAUUGAUAAGGGAUUUGUAAAUGAUCAGUCAGCAAAAAUGACUACUAUUAUCCCAAAAAGUACAAAUAUACUGAUAUUCAUGACUGUUUUUUUUUUUUUCAAUAGAAACCUGCAACCUAGGGAAAAGAUGAUAGUCUGACUGCUGCUUGCACAAAUAGCAGGGAGGCCUUUCUUUAGUACAAUGGACUGACAAUGAGCAUAGUUUUUGUAAGGCUGGAAUAACAAGUUACGAAAUACCACCAUCAUCACAGCUGAGAAGGAUGUGAGAGCCGAUUCUGCACUGCAAUCACCAGCUCACAGCACUUAGUUGAAUGUCUCCUCUCCUCCAAAACCAGAGCCAAGGCCAUCAGCAGAACCCUCAAAGUCAUCUGAGAUGAGAUACUGCAGGAUUAAAUAUGAACUUUUCCUCAACGGUUUGAUGGAUCAAAGUUAUAGUGUCUUCAGCAAUUUUUAUCCAAUUAUAGUUUGAAGAGUUAAGCUAUAACUUAAACUUAUAUUUAAGCAAAACCAGCAUAAGUGAAAAAAAGUACCACUUCAAAACAGAUUCAAAAACAAGAAAUAAAACAAAAGCUUAAGAACUUUUGCUAAAAAUUAUCUCCCUUUCUGCAACCACUUGGAAGAAAAGGGGGUAAAACAUACGAUAAAAUGUUAAUUACUUGGAACACAUUUAACCAGACUUUUCAAUCAUUUGGAUCAUUUUUUGCCUUUUGGUUAUUUUUGGACAAAUAUUUCUGCAAUUUGAAACAUAAUUUAACUCUUCUAGAACCAUGCUUCUUUGCAAUAGCAUCAAUAGUUUAGCACAAAAUUUUAAGAAGUGUAAUGCUAUGAAGAAUAGCAUAGUAAGAAAUUUUUUUUUCUGCAAACAUUCUUGGUUGUUAAAGAAAAUUGUUUUAAAACACAAGCUUGGGAGGCCGAGGCGGGCGGAUCACGAGGUCAGGAGAUCGAGACCAUCCUGGCUAACACAGUGAAACCCCGUCUCUACUAAAAAUACAAAAAAAUUUGCCAGGCGUGGUGUCGGGCAACUGUAGUCCCAGCUACUCAGGAGGCUGAGGCAGGAGAAUGGCGUGAACCCAGGAGGUGGAGCUUGCAGUGAGCCGAGAUCGUGCCACUGCACUCCAGCCUGGGCAACAGAGUGAGACCCCGACUGAAAAAAACAAAAAACAAAAAAACACAAGCUUUACCUUUGUAAACUAAGAGAUAUAUAUAAAAAAGGAAAAUUUAUCAUGCAUAAAAAACCUUGGCAUAUAUAUCUGGCUACAUAUUUUUACAUAUGCAUAUUUGUAUUUUACAUAUACAUAUUUUUAUUGUGUUCCAGGAUUGAAGAGUAAUCAUAAACCCUGUGCAAAACAGAUGAGGUGACCUUAGCUUCAACCCUCCAGUUCUCUUGCAUGAUAUCUAAUUGCAAAAAUUUAUAGCAGGGUUUAAGAGCAGAUAUGGCUUAUUUAUCCAGAAACAUCUGAUUGUAUAUAAAGUCAUGAAGUAACAUUCUGUAAGCACCUGGGCACUCAGCUGGAGUAGGGGUAUGCAAGAAUCUUCUUCACCAUAUUUUCCUUAACUUGGUUUUC
rnacentral:lncRNA from 1 species